rnacentral:rRNA from 1 species
CAGUCGCCGCGGUAAUACGUAGGUGGCAAGCGUUGUCCGGAAUUAUUGGGCGUAAAGGGCUCGCAGGCGGUUUCUUAAGUCUGAUGUGAAAGCCCCCGGCUCAACCGGGGAGGGUCAUUGGAAACUGGGAAACUUGAGUGCAGAAGAGGAGAGUGGAAUUCCACGUGUAGCGGUGAAAUGCGUAGAGAUGUGGAGGAACACCAGUGGCGAAGGCGACUCUCUGGUCUGUAACUGACGCUGAGGAGCGAAAGCGUGGGGAGCAAACAGGAUUAGAUACCCCUGUAGUCCCUGUCUCUUAUAA